GGCUCAGAUUGAACGCUGGCGGCAGGCCUAACACAUGCAAGUCGAGCGGUAGCACAGGGAGCUUGCUCCUGGGUGACGAGCGGCGGACGGGUGAGUAAUGUCUGGGAAACUGCCUGAUGGAGGGGGAUAACUACUGGAAACGGUAGCUAAUACCGCAUAACGUCGCAAGACCAAAGAGGGGGACCUUCGGGCCUCUUGCCAUCAGAUGUGCCCAGAUGGGAUUAGCUAGUAGGUGGGGUAAUGGCUCACCUAGGCGACGAUCCCUAGCUGGUCUGAGAGGAUGACCAGCCACACUGGAACUGAGACACGGUCCAGACUCCUACGGGAGGCAGCAGUGGGGAAUAUUGCACAAUGGGCGCAAGCCUGAUGCAGCCAUGCCGCGUGUAUGAAGAAGGCCUUCGGGUUGUAAAGUACUUUCAGCGAGGAGGAAGGCAUUGUGGUUAAUAACCACAGUGAUUGACGUUACUCGCAGAAGAAGCACCGGCUAACUCCGUGCCAGCAGCCGCGGUAAUACGGAGGGUGCAAGCGUUAAUCGGAAUUACUGGGCGUAAAGCGCACGCAGGCGGUCUGUCAAGUCGGAUGUGAAAUCCCCGGGCUCAACCUGGGAACUGCAUUCGAAACUGGCAGGCUAGAGUCUUGUAGAGGGGGGUAGAAUUCCAGGUGUAGCGGUGAAAUGCGUAGAGAUCUGGAGGAAUACCGGUGGCGAAGGCGGCCCCCUGGACAAAGACUACG
rnacentral:rRNA from 1 species